rnacentral:rRNA from 1 species
CCUACGGGAGGCAGCAGUGGGGGAUAUUGCACAAUGGGGGGAACCCUGAUGCAGCGACGCCGCGUGGGGGAAGAAGCGCCUCGGCGCGUAAAGCCCUGUCAGCAGGGAAGAAAAUGACGGUACCUGAAGAAGAAGCCCCGGCCAACUACGUGCCAGCAGCCGCGGUAAUAAGUAGGGGGCAAGCGUUAUCCGGAUUUAAUGGGCGUAAAGGGGGCGCAGAGGGCGAUGCAAGCCAGGAGUGAAAGCCCGGGGCCCAACCCCGGGAGUGCUCUGGGAACUGCGUGGCUGGAGUGCAGGAGGGGCAGGCGGAAUUCCUGGUGUAGCGGUGAAAUGCGUAGAUAUCAGGAGGAACACCGAUGGCGAAGGCGGCCUACUGGACUGCAACUGACGUUGAGGCCCGAAAGCGUGGGGAGCGAACAGGAUUAGAUACCCUGGUAGUC